rnacentral:rRNA from 1 species
UUGAACGCUGGCGGCAUGCUUUACACAUGCAAGUCGAACGGCAGCGCGGGCUUCGGCCUGGCGGCGAGUGGCGAACGGGUGAGUAAUACAUCGGAACGUGCCCAGUAGUGGGGGAUAGCUCGGCGAAAGCCGGAUUAAUACCGCAUACGACCUGAGGGUGAAAGCGGGGGAUCUUCGGACCUCGCGCUAUUGGAGCGGCCGAUGGCAGAUUAGCUAGUUGGUGGGGUAAAGGCCUACCAAGGCGACGAUCUGUAGCUGGUCUGAGAGGACGACCAGCCACACUGGGACUGAGACACGGCCCAGACUCCUACGGGAGGCAGCAGUGGGGAAUUUUGGACAAUGGGCGAAGGCCUGAUCCAGCAAUGCCGCGUGUGUGAUGAAGGCCUUCGGGUUGUAAAGCACUUUUGGCGGGAACGAAAAGGACUGUGCCAAUACCACGGUUCGAUGACGGUACCCGCAGAAUAAGCACCGGCUAACUACGUG